UACGGAGGGGGUUAGCGUUGUUCGGAAUGACUGGGCGUAAAGCGCGCGUAGGCGGAUCAUCAAGUCGGGGGUGAAAUCCCGGGGCUCAACCCCGGAAUGGCCUUCGAGACUGGUGGUCUUGAGUUCGAGAGAGGUGAGUGGAAUUCCGAGUGUAGACGUGAAAUUCGUAGAUAUUCGGAGGAACACCAGUGGCGAAGGCGGCUCACUGGCUCGACACUGACGCUGAGGUGCGAAAGCGUGGGGAGCAAACAGG
rnacentral:rRNA from 1 species